AGAGUUUGAUCCUGGCUCAGGAUGAACGCUGGCGGCGUGCCUAACACAUGCAAGUCGAGCGGUAUAUAUCUAAACAAAACUUCGGUCUAGUGAGGGUAUAGAGAGCGGCGGACGGGUGAGUAACGCGUAGGCAACCUGCCCCAUACACAGGAAUAGCCUCGGGAAACCGGGAUUAAAACCUGAUAAUGCGAGAAGUUCACAUGGACAACUCGCCAAAGAUUUAUCGGUAUGGGAUGGGCCUGCGUCUGAUUAGCUAGUUGGUGGGGUAACGGCCUACCAAGGCGACGAUCAGUAGCCGACCUGAGAGGGUAAUCGGCCACAUUGGAACUGAGACACGGUCCAAACUCCUACGGGAGGCAGCAGUGGGGAAUAUUGCACAAUGGGCGAAAGCCUGAUGCAGCAACGCCGCGUGAGCGAUGAAGGCCUUUGGGUCGUAAAGCUCUGUCCUUGGGGAAGAAAAAAAUGACGGUACCCUUGGAGGAAGCCCCGGCUAACUACGUGCCAGCAGCCGCGGUAAUACGUAGGGGGCAAGCGUUAUCCGGAAUUAUUGGGCGUAAAGAGUGCGUAGGUGGUUUUGUAAGCGCGGGGUGAAAGGCAAUAGCUCAACUAUUGUAAGCCUUGCGAACUGUAAGACUUGAGUGCAGGAGAGGAAAGCGGAAUUCCUAGUGUAGCGGUGAAAUGCGUAGAUAUUAGGAGGAACACCAGUGGCGAAGGCGGCUUUCUGGACUGUAACUGACACUGAGGCACGAAAGCGUGGGGAGCAAACAGGAUUAGAUACCCUGGUAGUCCACGCCGUAAACGAUGAGCACUAGGUGUCGGGGCCGCAAGGCUUCGGUGCCGCAGUUAACGCAUUAAGUGCUCCGCCUGGGGAGUACGCACGCAAGUGUGAAACUCAAAUGAAUUGACGG
rnacentral:rRNA from 1 species